CUGGCGGGACGCCCGAACCCGAGUGGCUCGUUGUUUUUCGCCUCGCUUCUCCGUCGUAGGCGGUCGGAUAUGACAUUCAUUGCGAUAGAGACGAUAUAAAAGCCCGGCUAAGCACAAAUGUUUCGUUGUUGAUCGCAGCAACAACCUCCGAUAUUGUUGUAGUCAAUCCUUAAAAUUCUACCGCUCCCCUGAAAAGCCGUGCGAGACUCGAACGGCGCCAAGCCUGGACCACGUCGGUGCUCCGACAAAAUGGGGGUGGUUCAGUUUUGAUUCCGCCAACGUCAGCGGGGAUGUGCAGCGUGCACUUCAUGAACACCUGCAAGGACAACGCUCAGGCUCAUCCUGCAACAAGUUACUAGACGAGAUGCCAGCUGAGAUAAAGACUAAUUGCAGGGAACCUACCAACCCUGUAAUUGCUCGUGAAUGAUUCUUAGUUAAUUUAAAUUAAUUUUCACCCCCUCGCUCGAAGAUACAGGUGACCUUUCCUCAUCUAUUUUGCAUUCUCUAUAUGUGCCCGGUUCUUAGCCUGUUAAAAGUAUCGUUAGUUGAUUGGCAACUUCUGUCUUUGAGUUACAUGUUUUGGUUUAGUCUGUACCCCAAGAUUCAGUAUAGCUUGGCUAAAGAUGGAUAAGCUAAGGUGACGACUGCUUUCUCACGAACUGGGAGACAUCUUUCGUGAGAUCUGGAAUAUGAACAGCUGAUCUGCCGUGCAAGAUCCCUGAAGUAGUCGGGGUUCUCGGCCCUACAAUUUCUUGGACAGUCCUUGCUUCUCGAGAUGUGUACAUCAUCUACAAGUAUCCUGCCGGCCAUACUUCGAGUCUGCUCCAAUGUCACCGUGUUAAGAGUAUGAGAAGAAUUUUUAUAUUGUCACAAGGUUGUGUGUUUACCUACUCGUGGUUGUGAUAAAACUCAAUAAACAUCUUUUUCACUGUCAACAAAACAUUUCUGAAAGCGUUGCAUUAUGUUGCUGUACCAUAUUUUCCAGACUAUAGUCUGCAGGGGCAAAUUUGGGGUAAAAAGAGUUUGCUUAGAUUGUGCACAUACGGUGCAUCGUCCGCACGUGGUGCUUAGUCGUCACGAAUAUCCUCUCAUAGACACAAAGAAGCUGGUAUUAUACGUAAAUUAUCAUUUACGUACUCUUUCAUUCACCAAAUCGGUCGUCUCGUCAUAAUCAACGAUAUUGAAAAACAAAAAUUUUGCAUAGUCCGCACAGCCUAAGAUUCCAACUUUUAAAAGUAUAGCCCGGAAAUUACGGUACAUUCCUGGAAACGCUCGAAAACAUGCCACGAAAAACUUUAUUCAGUGAAGCAGCAAUUAAACACUGGCAUGCAUGGAUUAUGUUUCUAGAAAAUAAAAGUUGUUCUACUGAUGACAA